rnacentral:rRNA from 1 species
UACGUAGGGUGCAAGCGUUAAUCGGAAUUACUGGGCGUAAAGCGGGCGCAGGCGGUUUGGUAAGAAAGGGGGGAAAUCCCAGGGCUUAACCUUGGAACUGCACUUUUAACUACCGGGCUAGAGUACGUCAGAGGGGGGUAGAAUUCCACGUGUAGCAGUGAAAUGCGUAGAGAUGUGGAGGAAUACCGAUGGCGAAGGCAGCCCCCUGGGAUGAUACUGACGCUGAGGAGCGAAAGCGUGGGGAGCGAACAGG